CUGGACAAAUAAAUGACGAGAAGGAGAAGGUCAUGAAAAAAUUAGGAAUAUUUAUAUGCCUAUCUGAGAUAUAACAAAUUCGUAUGACAAAAAUGAUGUGAUUAUUUAUUCAAGCGUUAGAAUUUACUCGCCGUCAAGGUGAUACAUGCAAGUCGACCCAUGUCAGACCCGAGGCAGGAAUAGCGCGUUGUAUUGCUGAAACGUGAGGCUUCUAUUCUUUUGGCCUUUCUACACUCCGCUUUUCAAAUGAGGCUGCUAGUGCCACUAAAUCAGUAACAAAUAAAAGCGAGGCGUCCGAAAUGGUCCGGGCACGGCGCAGUUAAUUUCACGGAGUAUUUGUUUGCUGCAAAACACCACUUACGCCCGUCUCAAGAAUACUAUGUACCUAUUAAAGUGCGAACAAACCCUUCAAGAAAUCAAUUAUGGAGUAUUACUCGUCCUGGGUCAAAUAAGUGAGUACAGUGGUGAUUACUGCCAACCAGAGGAUUUGCUUUCACAAUUGACCAUGAUUGGCCCUGAACCCAGAUUCAACCCUUCCCGAUUCCCUAUCUUCAUCUUCUAAAGAGGCACACUUAUGGAUAUAAUGCACCGUUACUCCUCGAGGUCCUAUAAUAGCUAAAUCUACAUUUAGUCUUUGCAUUUAGAGACAAAUAAAAACCGAACUGAAAGGUCAACCAACGAAUCUAACUCCGCUGGGCAGCG